CAAGACCUUGCGCUUUUGGAGCGGCCGAUGUCUGAUUAGCUAGUUGGUGAGGUAAAGGCUUACCGAGGCUUCGAUCAGUAGCUGGUCUGAGAGGACGACCAGCCACACUGGGACUGAGACACGGCCCAGACUCCUACGGGAGGCAGCAGUGGGGAAUUUUGGACAAUGGGGGAAACCCUGAUCCAGCCAUGCCGCGUGAGUGAAGAAGGCCUUCGGGUUGUAAAGCUCUCUCAGCCGGAACGAAAAGGUUACGGUUAAUACCCGUGACUAAUGACGGUACCGGAAGAAGAAGCACCGGCUAACUACGUGCCAGCAGCCGCGGUAAUACGUAGGGUGCGAGCGUUAAUCGGAAUUACUGGGCGUAAAGCGUGCGCAGGCGGUUUUGUAAGUCAGAUGUGAAAUCCCCGGGGCUCAACCUGGGAACUG
rnacentral:rRNA from 1 species